GAUGAACGCUGGCGGCGUGCCUAAUACAUGCAAGUCGAGCGAACGGACGAGAAGCUUGCUUUUCUGAUGUUAGCGGCGGACGGGUGAGUAACACGUGGAUAACCUACCUAGAAGACUGGGAUAACUUCGGGAAACCGGAGCUAAUACCGGAUAAUAUUUUGAACCGCAUGGUUCAAAAGUGAAAGACGGUCUUGCUGUCACUUAUAGAUGGAUCCGCGCUGCAUUAGCUAGUUGGUAAGGUAACGGCUUACCAAGGCGACGAUGCAUAGCCGACCUGAGAGGGUGAUCAGCCACACUGGAACUGAGACACGGUCCAGACUCCUACGGGAGGCAGCAGUAGGGAAUAUUCCGCAAUGGGCGAAAGCCUGACGGAGCAACGCCGCGUGAGUGAUGAAGGUCUUCGGAUCGUAAAACUCUGUUAUUAGGGAAGAACAUAUGUGUAAGUAACUGUGCACAUCUUGACGGUACCUAAUCAGAAAGCAACGGCUAACUACGUG
rnacentral:rRNA from 1 species